UGCGUAGGUGGUUGGUUAAGUUUGAGGUGAAAGCUCCGAGCUCAACUCGGAAAAUGCCUUGAAGACUAUCUGACUAGAGGAUUGGAGGGGGAGAUUGGAAUUCUCGGUGUAGCAGUGAAAUGCGUAGAUAUCGAGAGGAACACCAGUGGCGAAGGCGAAUUUCUGGACAAUUCCUGACACUGAGGCACGAAAGCCAAGGGAGCAAACG
rnacentral:rRNA from 1 species